GACGAACGCUGGCGGCGUGCUUAACACAUGCAAGUCGAACGCGCCUGUCCUCUGGGUUUCUGGGGGGUGGGUGAGUGGCGAACGGGUGAGUAACACGUGAGUAACCUGCCCCCUUCUUCGGGAUAACGGUCUGAAAGGGCUGCUAAUACCGGGUAUUCACUGGUCUCCGCAUGGGGUCUGGUGGAAAGGUUUUUUUCUGGUGGGGGAUGGGCUCGCGGCCUAUCAGCUUGUUGGUGGGGUGAUGGCCCACCAAGGCUUUGACGGGUAGCCGGCCUGAGAGGGUGACCGGUCACAUUGGGACUGAGAUACGGCCCAGACUCGUACGGGAGGCAGCAGUGGGGAAUAUUGCACAAUGGGCGCAAGCCUGAUGCAGCGACGCCGCGUGAGGGAUGGAGGCCGUCGGGUUGUGAACCUCUGUCGCCCGUGGUCAAGCCGCGACGUGGGUCGUGGUGAGGGUAGUGGGUAAAGAAGCGCCGGCUAACUACGUG
rnacentral:rRNA from 1 species